rnacentral:rRNA from 1 species
UACGUAGGGGGCUAGCGUUGUCCGGAAUCAUUGGGCGUAAAGCGCGUGUAGGCGGUCCGGUAAGUCCGCUGUGAAAGUCGGGGGCUCAACCCUCGGAUGCCGGUGGAUACUGUCGGGCUUGAGUACGGAAGAGGCGAGUGGAAUUCCUGGUGUAGCGGUGAAAUGCGCAGAUAUCAGGAGGAACACCAGUGGCGAAGGCGGUGCUCUGGGCCGGAUACUGA